AAAAAUAAAAAACAAAAUCUAUUUUUUUAAAACUAAAAUAAUAUGGCCAAACACUUUCUUCAAGAAAUCUCUACAAACACUAGACUCCAAAGCCUCCUCCAGUAGGAAAAAAUGAUUAGUAUUAAGAUCAUAAACCUUUAUACCCUGUCAGAUUGAUACAUAAAAACCCUGUAAGAUUGAAAACCAGUUUGUAUAACUUAUA
rnacentral:lncRNA from 1 species